CAAAACUUUUAACAACGGAUCUCUUGGUUCUGGCAUCGAUGAAGAACGCAGCGAAAUGCGAUAAGUAAUGUGAAUUGCAGAAUUCAGUGAAUCAUCGAAUCUUUGAACGCACAUUGCGCCCGCCAGCAUUCUGGCGGGCAUGCCUGUU
rnacentral:rRNA from 1 species